GGCAAUUUAUAUUCCCCAAUAACCGGACCAAACACAUAGUCCAAAUCCUUUGUGCCCUAAUUUCUCAAAUUGGAACCUUUCACUCCACCGCUCCAACCCCUAAUUCCUAUCAACGCUUUUGCUGUCGUCGCUCGCCAAGGAUUUUGAUUGAGAUUUGUUCCGCGGGGGGUUCGAAGAACAAGUAGUUAGAGAAAGAUGCUAGAGAAUCUUCAGGUUCCUCCGUCGACAACGGAAUCGACCCCAGUGCUGAAGUGCUAUGCUCCACCCAACCAGAGGAACGUUUCUGCCAACAGGCGCAAAUCAUCUGUCCCUAUUUUUCUCAUAGCCUGAAUUUAACCUAAAUCCAAGGCUGCUGCUAGGUGAAUUGUUGUUAAGUGUAAUAGACAAAAAGGAAUCACUGAAUGUGGCUACUACGUGAUGCACUGGAUGUCCACGAUAAUCUUAGGAUCUUUCAGAAAUAAUUGAGAGACGUAUUUUAAUGAAGUUAGACAAUUGAAAGCAGAGAGAUUCAUGGCGCUUCGCAUCUAGUGGGCACAGUAUUAUCUAAAAGUUAGAAAUCAAACAUAGGAUGUUAAGCAACUAUGUAACUUUAGGUUACUUAAUUAGUUUACAUACUUUACAUUACAUUUUUUACAAUUGUUGUUUCAUUUUAACAUUGAAUAACCUUUGUUGAUAGCUAGUUUUCUGCUAAAAUCUAUUUGAAAGCAGAAUGCAAAUGAUA